rnacentral:lncRNA from 1 species
CAAAAAGUCUUUUUACCAUAGCAUGGGCAAAGAUAAAGAAAAGAAGAGGAAAAGCGACUCUGGUUUUUCUUCCCUUCACUUGUUCCUAGGGAACAUGUUAUUCUUGCCGCGUUAAUGUCCAGCCAGAGAUAUCAGGUAACAAGAACUUGCUUCCAAGCUUCAGAGUACAGAAAAAGAACACUCUAAAAAGCAGCAAAACUCCAGUAUUUACAAUCCCUUCAAGAGACUUGGUUAAUAUUUAAAUAUUUAAAUGUUUACUUUGUUUAAACAUUCCUCUUUUAUCCAAUGAAUGUACACUUAAAAAUUAUUUUCUUUGAUAUCAAACAUGCUCAGCAAGGGAAACAAAAUGUAUACAAAAUAUAGGAAAGAAUUUCAAAAAGACCAAGCCCAGUAUGUUUAACAAUGCAUUCUUUUCCUCCCACAGUGCAUUUAAAAACAAAGCAAAACAAAACAAAAAGCUUGCCUCCAUACACAUUGAAUCACAAAGGAAAUAUAACACACUGAGUCGUUUCUGCUUUUGAUCCCAGUUCUUAGAGUCAAGAAAUCAGACUGCAGAAGAAAGCCUGCUCAAAUCACACAAGAGCAGCCCAUGUAUGACGACGCCCUUCUCUCUCCUUAGGCUCUUCUGCAAGGGUCACCUGUAACCCCUCCAGCCCAUCUAUCCGAUGGUGGCUGGAGAUGAGGGGUUGUGGAUGGCAACACUGGGCGACUCCAGCAUCUUCAUGGUGAGCUGCUGGGGAAAGGCACUUACGAAGAGAGCUCGGAUUGUGUCUGUGCUUGUGACUUCAUUCGGCAUCCGCAGCUGUUUGGUUUCGUCUCCAUACUGGAGGUAGAGAACACCUGCAUGCAAAGGAACACACAAUUAUCAG